CUUCACCGACCCCAGCCACAGCGGGCCGUCCGAGGAGCGCUCCUGCCCGUAGGUGGCCAGCAGCGCCUGCGCCUC
rnacentral:antisense_RNA from 1 species